rnacentral:rRNA from 1 species
UGAAUACAUAGGUUAACGAGGCGAACCGGGGGAACUGAAACAUCUAAGUACCCCGAGGAAAAGAAAUCAACCGAGAUUCCCCCAGUAGCGGCGAGCGAACGGGGAGCAGCCCCGAGUCUGAAUCAGCUUGUGUGUUAGUGGAACGGUCUGGAAAGUCCGACGGUACAGGGUGAUAGUCCCGUACACCAAAAUGCACAGGCUGUGAACUCGAAGAGUAGGGCGGGACACGUGGUAUCCUGUCUGAAUAUGGGGGGACCAUCCUCCAAGGCUAAAUACUCCUGACUGACCGAUAGUGAACCAGUACCGUGAGGGAAAGGCGAAAAGAACCCCGGCGAGGGGAGUGAAAAAGAACCUGAAACCGUGUACGUACAAGCAGUGGGAGCACCUUCGGGUGUGACUGCGUACCUUUUGUAUAAUGGGUCAGCGACU